GAUGAACGCUGGCGGCGUGCCUAAUACAUGCAAGUAGAACGCUGAAGGAAGGAGCUUGCUCUUUCCGGAUGAGUUGCGAACGGGUGAGUAACGCGUAGGUAACCUGCCUGGUAGCGGGGGAUAACUAUUGGAAACGAUAGCUAAUACCGCAUAACAGUAGAUGUUGCAUGAUAUCUGCUUAAAAGGUGCAAUUGCACCACUACCAGAUGGACCUGCGUUGUAUUAGCUAGUUGGUGAGGUACGGCUCACCAAGGCGACGAUACAUAGCCGACCUGAGAGGGUGAUCGGCCACACUGGGACUGAGACACGGCCCAGACUCCUACGGGAGGCAGCAGUAGGGAAUCUUCGGCAAUGGACGGAAGUCUGACCGAGCAACGCCGCGUGAGUGAAGAAGGUUUUCGGAUCGUAAAGCUCUGUUGUAAGAGAAGAACGAGUGUGAGAGUGGAAAGUUCACACUGUGACGGUAUCUUACCAGAAAGGGACGGCUAACUACGUG
rnacentral:rRNA from 1 species